AAGAAAAUAAAAGCAACUAGCCAGGGGACAAAGGCCUUAUCCCCUGGUAGGAUAAUAAGAAACUAAAACCUAGAAAAAUAUGUGCAAAAAGUCUCUCUAAUGACGUUCUCUUAAAACUCAUUCGCUCAAUUUCUGCUCUCACAUCUUCUUCUUUUUCCUCUAUUUGGUAAUCUCACAUAUAGCCAUCAUCAUGAACAAUAUCAACUAAUGUUCCAGUGAACGGGAAUAUCUUUAAUCCCGUUUGAUUAGGGUUUCGUUUUCAUCAUCAUCUCUAUUUUGAUUGAUGUUAUUAGGGUUCACUUUUUUAUUAGGGCUAUACUUGGAUAAAUAGUUUUGUACCACUAAGUUUGCAGGGAGAUUGGAUUAAUCUUCAAGCUGCGAUUUGUGUGGUUUGUUUGUUUAGGAAGGACAACAGGAACAAACCAGGUCCAACUGAUGGUAUGGGACAUAGCUGUGUCUCUUAUGGAAAACAUGGGGAUUCGUUCCAUCAACAUUUCAUCUUCGAAUGAAGCUUCUUUUUUCAGUGCAGCUGGAUGGGCACAAUGUCAUGUCUCGGCAUACCUUUUAUUUCGUUGGGAGAGGUGAAGCCAAGCCACACCAAAUCAAAUAUGAUGCACGAUGGGGACAGGCGAAGCCACAUUACACCAAAUCAAAAUUAUGGUUAAAAGAAAAAGAUGUCGGUACAUAGCCCGAAGAGGAGGUUUAUAUUCUACCAUCGUGCUCCGUCCUAGGCUACUAUGGAUUCUUAUAUUGUGAUUUAUGUUCUUAGUUUGGGUUCUUAUAUAUACUUUUGGUCUUUGUCUAAUCUGAAAUUUUUUACUUUAUUUUUCAUUUCUUUUCUGAUGACUUGAGAAAAUUUCAUUGAAGACCUGUAUAUCUAACGUAUACUCAAUCUAUUCAAUUAUUUUCUGUAUA